GAUCAAGCGAAUAAGAGCGUAGGGUGGAUGCCUUGGCACUGGGAGCCGACGAAGGACGUGGUAAGCUGCGAAAAGCUACGGGGAGCCGCAAACAAGCACUGAUCCGUAGAUAUCCGAAUGGGGAAACCCGGCGGUGGUAAUGCGCCGUCACCCAUGGCUGAACACAUAGGCCAUGAGGAGGGAACGCGGUGAACUGAAACAUCUAAGUAACCGUAGGAAGAGAAAGAAAUAUCGAUUUCCUGAGUAGCGGCGAGCGAAAGGGGAAGAGCCUAAACCAUAUUGCUACGGCAAUAUGGGGUAUGGACCUGCAGGAUUUUUUAAUAUGCUAGGUGAACACCGGUGGAUAACCGGGGCGAUAGAGGGUGACAGCCCCGUAACCGAAAGCGUAGAGGAAAAGGCGGGUAUCCGGAGUACCACGGAACACGAGGAAUUCCGUGGGAAGGCGGGAGGACCACCUCCCAAGGCUAAAUACUACCCAGUGACCGAUAGCGAAACAGUACCGUGAGGGAAAGGUGAAAAGCACCCCGGGAGGGGAGUGAAAGAGAACCUGAAACCCUGCGCUUACAAGCAGAGGGAGCACGAUAAAGGUGUGACCUCGUACUUUUUGUAGAACGGGCCGGCGAGUUACGUUGUGUAGCAAGGUUAAGGUGUAGAGCACUGGAGCCGCAGGGAAACCGAGUCUGAAUAGGGCGUGUAGUUGCAUGAUGUAGACCCGAAACCGGGUGACCUACCCAUGGGCAGGUUGAAGGUGGGGUAAAACCUACUGGAGGACCGAACCACACCAAUGUUGAAAAAUUGGGGGAUGACCUGUGGGUAGCGGAGAAAUUCCAAUCGAACCCGGAGAUAGCUGGUUCUCCUCGAAAUAGCUUUAGGGCUAGCCUCGGAAAGAAGGCACAUGGGGGUAGAGCACUGAAUGGGCUAGGGGGCCUCAAAGCUUACCGAACCUUAUCAAACUCCGAAUACCAUGUGACCAAUCACCGGGAGUCAGACUAUGGGAGAUAAGUUUCAUAGUCGAGAGGGAAAGAGCCCAGACCAUCGGCUAAGGUCCCCAAGUUCAAGUUAAGUGGAAAAGGAUGUGCGAUUGCCCAGACAACCAGGAUGUUGGCUUAGAAGCAGCCAUACAUUUAAAGAGUGCGUAACAGCUCACUGGUCGAGUGGUGGUGCGCCGAAAAUGUACCGGGGCUAAACUUGACACCGAAGCCAUGGAAUCACGUAUCUUCACCAAUGGAGCCUUAAGGGAGGCGUUGGCGGCAUAGUGAAGAAAGAGAAAGAAGCCAAGCGGGGUCCAGGGGAAUGAUUUCCCUGGCAGGGAUUGGGACAGCGUCCCAAGGUCUAAUCCCGAAAAGGAACUGUUGGCGAGGAUGCGUGAUUGGUAGAGGAGCAUCGUAUACGGGCAGAAGCGUGACCGGGAGGACACGUGGACUGUAUAGGAGAGAGAAUGCCGGCAUGAGUAGCGAGAGCAAAGUGAGAAUCUUUGCCGUCGAAAGCCUAAGGUUUCCUGGGGAAGGUUCGUCCCCCCAGGGUAAGUCGGGACCUAAGCCGAGGACGAAGGUCGUAGGCGAUGGACAACAGGUUGAUAUUCCUGUACUACCUUUAGCGAUUGACCGAAGCAGUGACACAGGAGGAUAGGCAGAGCGGGGUGAUGGUAGACUCCGUCCAAGCGUUUAGGCUGGAGUGUAGUGAAGUACGCACUCUGUAAAGGCUGAGGCGUGAAGGGGACAGAAAACAAGUAUGGAAGCUGCUGAAUCCACACUGGCGAGAAAAGCUGCUAGGGAGCAAAAGGGUACCCGUACCGCAAACCGACACAGGUAGGCGAGGAGAGAAUCCUAAGACGAGCGGAAGAACCCUUGUUAAGGAACUCGGCAAAAUGACCCCGUAACUUCGGGAAAAGGGGAGCCUCGAGAGAGGCCGCAGAGAAUAGGCCCAAGCGACUGUUUAGCAAAAACACAGGUCUGUGCGAAAUUGAGAGAUGAAGUAUACAGGCUGACGCCUGCCCAGUGCCGGAAGGUCAAGGGGAAGUGUUAGGGAGUAAUCCCGAAGCAUGGAACUUAAGCCCCGGUGAACGGCGGCCGUAACUAUAACGGUCCUAAGGUAGCGAAAUUCCUUGUCGGGUAAGUUCCGACCCGCACGAAUGGCGUAACGAUUUGGGCGCUGUCUCAACAAGGGAUCCGGUGAAAUUGUAGUAUGCGUGAAGAUGCGCAUUGCCCGCGAUAGGACGGAAAGACCCCGUAGAGCUUUACUGUAGCUUGGCAUUGGAUUUCGGUAACGGAUGUACAGAAUAGGUGGGAGACUGGGAAGCGUGUACGCCAGUAUGCGUGGAGUCACCUUUGGGAUACCACUCUUCCGUUGCUGGGGUUCUAACGAGUGGCCGUAAACCGGCACUUGGACAUUGCCAGGUGGGCAGUUUGACUGGGGCGGUCGCCUCCCAAAGAGUAACGGAGGCGCCCAAAGGUUUCCUCAGAAUGGUUGGAAAUCAUUCGUAGAGUGUAAAGGCAAAAGGGAGCCUGACAGCGAGAGAGACAUUUCGAGCUGGUACGAAAGUAGGGCUUAGUGACCCGGCGGCAUUGAGUGGGUGAGCCGUCGAUUAACGGAUAAAAGCUACCUCGGGGAUAACAGGCUUAUCUCCCCCAAGAGUCCACAUCGACGGGGAGGUUUGGCACCUCGAUGUCGGCUCGUCGCAUCCUGGGGCUGGAGCAGGUCCCAAGGGUUUGGCUGUUCGCCAAUUAAAGCGGCACGCGAGCUGGGUUCAGAACGUCGUGAGACAGUUCGGUCCCUAUCCAUCGUGGGCGUUGGAGAUUUGAGAGGAGCUGUCCUUAGUACGAGAGGACCAGGAUGGACCCGCCUAUGGUGUACCAGUUGUCCCGCCAGGGGCACGGCUGGGUAGCUAAGCGGGGAAGGGAUAAACGCUGAAAGCAUCUAAGCGUGAAGCCCCCCUCAAGAUGAGAUCUCCCAUCCUUUUAAAGGAGUAAGACCCCUUGCAGACUACAAGGUAGAUAGGCCGGAGGUGGAAGUGCAGCAAUGUAUGGAGCUGACCGGUACUAAUAGGUCGAGGGCUUGAUCAC
rnacentral:rRNA from 1 species